rnacentral:rRNA from 1 species
UACGGGGGGGGCAAGCGUUGUUCGGAAUUACUGGGCUUAAAGGGCGCGUAGGCGGGUCUUCAAGUUUGGGGUGAAAUCCUCCGGCUCAACCGGAGAACUGCCUCGAAUACUGAAGGUCUCGAGGGGGAUAGGGGCAUGCGGAACUACGGGUGGAGCGGUGAAAUGCGUUGAUAUCCGUAGGAACUCCGGUGGCGAAGGCGGCGUGCUGGAUCCCUUCUGACGCUGAGGCACGAAAGCGUGGGGAGCAAACAGG